rnacentral:rRNA from 1 species
UACGGAGGGUGCAAGCGUUGCUCGGAAUUACUGGGCGUAAAGGGCGUGUAGGCGGUUUCGUAUGUCUGGCGUGAAAGCCCCGGGCUCACCUCGGGAAGUGCGUCGGAAACUGCGAGACUAGAGUCCCGGAGAGGGAGGUGGAAUUCCAGGUGUAGCGGUGAAAUGCGUAGAUAUCGGGAGGAACACCUGUGGCGAAAGCGGCUCUCUGGACCGUAACUGACGCUGAGACACGAAAGCGUGGGUAGCAAACAGG